AAUAAGUUCUACCCACAAACUGCUGUCAGAAUACCGAACGAAGACAAAAAGGUGUUAGCUUCCAGAUGAAUUUAUGCUUUUCUGUUUAGCAAUAAAUAGAAUGCACAAGGAUGCAAAGUCUCUGAUGUUCUGCCGUUUCCUCAUGGCACCCUCCCAUGACCCUACUUGAAUGACAACAAGCAGAUGGUGGAUGAACUGGGAACUACUGUUGAGACUUCAGAAGAAAAAGAGAGCCUAUGUCCUCUGGAAAAAGGGAAAGGCUACUUGGGGAGAUUACAAAGAUGUUGCUAAGCGCUCCUGGUUGUCUGGAGAGGUCCCAGAGGAUUGGAGGCUUACCAAUAUGACUUCCAUGUACAAGAAGAGCCAUAAGAAGGACCUGGGGAACUACAGGCCUCUCAGCCUGACUUCGGUACCUAGGAAAGUUAUGAAGCAAAUCAUCUUGGGUGAGAUCACACAGCACAUGCGUGGCAUCCAGAGGAUCAGGCCCAGCCAACACGGAUUCA